rnacentral:rRNA from 1 species
AUUGAACGCUGGCGGCAGGCCUAACACAUGCAAGUCGAACGAGUGGCGGACGGGUGAGUAAUGUCUGGGAAAGUGCCUGAUGGAGGGGGAAAACUACUGGAAAAGGUAGCUGAUCCCGCAUACAAUCGGAUGCUCCCAGAUGGGAUUAGCUAGUAGGUGGGGGAAAGGCUAACCUAGGCGACGAUCCCUAGCUGGUCUGAGAGGAAGACCAGCCACACUGGAACUGAGACAAGGUCCAGCCUCCUACGGGAGGCAGCAGUGGGGAAUAUUGCACAAUGGGCGCAAGCCUGAUGCAGCCAUGCCGCGUGUAUGAAGAAGGCCUUCGGGUUGUAAAGUACUUUCAGCGGGGAGGCGUUACCCGCAGAAGAAGCACCGGCUAACUCCGUGCCAGCAGCCGCGGUAAUUC